rnacentral:rRNA from 1 species
CUCGGGUGUAAACCUCUUUCAGUAGGGAAGAAGCGAAAGUGACGGUACCUGCAGAAGAAGCACCGGCUAACUACGUGCCAGCAGCCGCGGUAAUACGUAGGGUGCGAGCGUUAUCCGGAAUUAUUGGGCGUAAAGAGCUCGUAGGCGGUUUGUCGCGUCUGUCGUGAAAGUCCGGGGCUUAACCCCGGAUCUGCGGUGGGUACGGGCAGACUAGAGUGCAGUAGGGGAGACUGGAAUUCCUGGUGUAGCGGUGGAAUGCGCAGAUAUCAGGAGGAACACCGAUGGCGAAGGCAGGUCUCUGGGCUGUAACUGACGCUGAGGAGCGAAAGCAUGGGGAGCGAACAGGAUUAGAUACCCUGGUAGUCCAUGCCGUAAACGUUGGGCACUAGGUGUGGGGACCAUUCCACGGUUUCCGCGCCGCAGCUAACGCAUUAAGUGCCCCGCCUGGGGAGUACGGCCGCAAGGCUAAAACUCAAAGGAAUUGACGGGGGCCCGCACAAGCGGCGGAGCAUGCGGAUUAAUUCGAUGCAACGCGAAGAACCUUACCAAGGCUUGACAUGUUCUCGAUCGCCGUAGAGAUACGGUUUCCCCUUUGGGGCGGGAUCACAGGUGGUGCAUGGUUGUCGUCAGCUCGUGUCGUGAGAUGUUGGGUUAAGUCCCGCAACGAGCGCAACCCUCGUUCCAUGUUGCCAGCACGUAAUGGUGGGGACUCAUGGGAGACUGCCGGGGUCAACUCGGAGGAAGGUGGGGACGACGUCAAAUCAUCAUGCCCCUUAUGUCUUGGGCUUCACGCAUGCUACAAUGGCCGGUACAAUGGGUUGCGAUACUGUGAGGUGGAGCUAAUCCCAAAAAGCCGGUCUCAGUUCGGAUUGGGGUCUGCAACUCGACCCCAUGAAGUCGGAGUCGCUAGUAAUCGCAGAUCAGCAACGCUGCGGUGAAUACGUUCCCGGGCCUUGUACACACCGCCCGUCAAGUCACGAAAGUCGGUAACACCCGAAGCCGGUGGCCUAACCCUUGUGGGGGGAGCCGUCGAAGGUGACCCAGGGG